AUGGUCCAGAAGGUCGCAAACGGCGCUUUAAGUAUGACUGGUUCAAGGAUUUCCCAUCAUGGUUGGAGUACUCGGAGGACAGUCACCGUGCAUACAUAUUGCUUCUAUUGUUUCUUGUUCGACAAAAACAAAAACAAGAGAGGUGGUUCAGAUGUCUUUAUAGUGCGAGGAUUUGUAAAUUGGAAGAAGGUCCAUGAUGGAAAGAAAUGUGCUUUCUUAAACCACAUAGGUUCUGAACCUUGCUCUGAACAUAACAAUGCAACCAAAGCAUGCCAUGGCUUCUUGAAUUAG
rnacentral:rRNA from 1 species